AUUGAACGCUGGCGGCAGGCCUAACACAUGCAAGUCGAACGAGUGGCGGACGGGUGAGUAAUGUCUGGGAAACUGCCCGAUGGAGGGGGAUAACUACUGGAAACGGUAGCUAAUACCGCAUACCAUCGGAUGUGCCCAGAUGGGAUUGGCUUGUAGGUGAGGUAACGGCUCACCUAGGCGACGAUCCCUAGCUGGUCUGAGAGGAUGACCAGGCAAAAUGGAACUGAUACACGGUCGAGACUCCUACGUGAGGCAGAAGUGGGGAAUAUUGCACAAGGGUGGCAAGCCUGAUGCAGCCAUGCCGGGUGUAUGAAGAAGGCAUUCGGGUUGUAAAGUACUUGCAGCGGGGAGGCGUUACCCGCAGAAGAAGCACCGGCUAACUCCGUGCCAGCAGCCGCGGUAAUAC
rnacentral:rRNA from 1 species